GCCAGACUCCUACGGGAGGCAGCAGUGGGGAAUAUUGCACAAUGGGGGGAACCCUGAUGCAGCGACGCCGCGUGGGUGAAGGAGCGUUUCGGCGCGUAAAGCCCUCUCGGCAGGGAAGAAGGAGGACGGUACCUGACUAAGAAGCCCCGGCUAACUACGUGCCAGCAGCCGCGGUAAUACGUAGGGGGCAAGCGUUAUCCGGAUUUACUGGGUGUAAAGGGGGCGCAGACGGCAGCGCAAGCCAGGAGUGAAAGCCCGGGGCCCAACCCCGGGACUGCUCUUGGAACUGCGCGGCUGGAGUGCAGGAGGGGCAGGCGGAAUUCCUGGUGUAGCGGUGAAAUGCGUAGAUAUCAGGAGGAACACCGGUGGCGAAGGCGGCCUGCUGGACGACAACUGACGGUGAGGCGCGAAAGCGUGGGGAGCAAACAGGAUUAGAUACCCUAGUA
rnacentral:rRNA from 1 species